CUGCAAUCCGGCUCUUCUGUUUUCUCUUGGCAUGGAAACCAAAGUACAUUCGAGCAGCAACAGUUAGCUGCAAAAGUUGCAGAGUUUCUAAGGCCAGGUGUUACUUUGAAACAUGCAAAGGAAGGAACAGAGAGUUCAACCUUCUGGUUUGCACUUGGAGGAAAACAAAGUUACAACAGUAAAAAAGUAUCUCAGGAUAUUAUCAGGGAUCCCCACUUGUAUGCAUUUUCAUUCACUAGAGGAAAGUUCCAGGUGAAUAUUUGAAUUCUUGUUAAUGAAGAAGUUAAACCAGAUGCAGUGUUAUGAUCUUAU